GACGAACGCUGGCGGCGUGCCUAACACAUGCAAGUCGAACGGAGUUAACUUUUCAGAUCCCUUCGGGGUGAAGAGUUGUUAACUUAGUGGCGGACGGGUGAGUAACGCGUGAGCAACCUGCCUUACAGAGGGGGACAACAGUUGGAAACGACUGCUAAUACCGCAUAACGUGCUUUUGGGACAUCCCUGGAGCACCAAAGGAGCAAUCCGCUGUAAGAUGGGCUCGCGUCCGAUCGAGGAGGAGCCCGCGGCGGAUUAGCUUGUUGGUGAGGUAAUGGCUCACCAAGGCUCCGAUCCGUAGCUGGUCUGAGAGGACGAUCAGCCACACUGGGACUGAGACACGGCCCAGACUCCUACGGGAGGCAGCAGUGGGGAAUCUUGCGCAAUGGGCGAAAGCCUGACGCAGCGACGCCGCGUGCGGGAG
rnacentral:rRNA from 1 species